GACGAACGCUGGCGGCGUGCUUAACACAUGCAAGUCGAACGGAAAGGCCCUGCUUUUGUGGGGUGCUCGAGUGGCGAACGGGUGAGUAACACGUGAGUAACCUGCCCUUGACUUUGGGAUAACUUCAGGAAACUGGGGCUAAUACCGGAUAGGAUCUCCUGCUGCAUGGUGGGGGUUGGAAAGUUUCGGCGGUUGGGGAUGGACUCGCGGCUUAUCAGCUUGUUGGUAGGGUAGUGGCUUACCAAGGCUUUGACGGGUAGCCGGCCUGAGAGGGUGACCGGCCACAUUGGGACUGAGAGACGGCCCAGACUCCUACGGGAGGCAGAAGGGGGGAAUAUUGCACAAUGGGCGGAAGCCGGAUGCAGCAACGCCGCGUGCGGGAUGACGGCCUUCGGGGUGUAAACCGCUGUCGCCUGUGACGAAGCGUGAGUGACGGUAAUGGGUAAAGAAGCACCGGCUAACUACGUG
rnacentral:rRNA from 1 species